rnacentral:rRNA from 14 species
AGCGUAACAGCUCACUGGUCUAAUUAAGGGUCUUUGCGCCGAAAAUGUAACGGGGCUAAAGCCAUGCACCGAAGCUCUGGGUUUACACGCAAGUGUAAGCGGUAGCGGAGCGUUCCGUAAGCUGAUGAAGCCAGAUCCGUGAGGACUGGUGGAGGUAUCGGAAGUGCGAAUGCUGACAUGAGUAGCGAUAAAGAGGGUGAGAUGCCCUCUCGCCGAAAUCCCAAGGGUUCCUGCUUAAAGCUAAUCUGAGCAGGGUAAGCCG